rnacentral:rRNA from 1 species
UACGUAGGGGGCUAGCGUUGUCCGGAAUCAUUGGGCGUAAAGCGCGUGUAGGCGGUCCGGUAAGUCCGCUGUGAAAGUCGGGGGCUCAACCCUCGAAUGGCCGGUGGAUACUGUCGGGCUAGAGUGCGGGAAGAGGCGAGUGGAAUUCCUGGUGUAGGCGGUGGAAUGCGCAGAUAUCAGGAGGAACACCUGUGGUGAUAGACAGCUUACGUGGGACCAUUUCUGACGCUGAGACACGAAAGACGUGGGGUAGCAAACAGG